AUGUCCAACUCCGGCCACAUCGCCGUCGAAGUCGACGACGCGGAGCGGGAGCUGCAGCUGCUCGUCUCCGCGGGGCCGCCGGUGCCGUACACGCUCUCCUUCACCGACCUCUCGUACCGCGUCCGGCAGGGCCGCGGCGGCCUCAUGGGCUGCCUCCCCUCGCGCGCCAGCAACCGCCUGGCCUCCACCGACGCGCCGCCCGCCAACACCAAGGCGCUGCUGGACGGCGUCUCGGGCGAGGCGCGGGAGGGCGAGCUGUUCGCCGUCAUGGGCGCCAGCGGCUCCGGCAAGUCCACGCUCGUCGACGCGCUGGCGGGCCGGAUCGCGCGCGACAGCCUCCGCGGCGCCGUCACGCUCAACGGGGAGCCGCUCCACGGCAGCCGCCUCCGCGCCAUCUCCGCCUACGUCAUGCAGGACGACCUGCUCUACCCCAUGCUCACCGUGCGCGAGACGCUGCUCUUCGCCGCCGAGCUGCGGCUCUCGCGCGCGCUCUCCCCGGCCGCCAAGCGCGAGCGGGUGGACCGGCUCAUCGACCAGCUCGGGCUCUCGCGCGCCGCCGACACCAUCAUCGGCGACGAGGGCCACCGCGGGGUGUCCGGAGGGGAGCGCCGCAGGGUGUCCAUCGGCACCGACAUCAUCCACGACCCCAUCCUGCUCUUCCUCGACGAGCCCACCUCGGGUCUCGACUCGGCCAGCGCCUUCAUGGUGGUGCAGGUGCUCCGCACCAUCGCGCGCAGCGGCAGCGUCGUCGUCAUGACCAUCCACCAGCCCAGCGCGCGCAUCCUCGGCAUCCUCGGCCGCCUCCUGCUGCUCUCGCGCGGCCGCACCGUGUACGCCGGCACGCCCGCCGGCCUCAAGCCCUUCUUCGCGGAGUUCGGCGCGCCCAUCCCGGACAACGAGAACCCGGCCGAGUUCGCGCUGGACACGAUCCGCGAGCGCGAGGCCCAGCAGCCCGACGGGACCGGGCCGCUCGCCGAGUUCAACGCGAGGUGGCAGGCGACGCGCAAGCUGAUGAUGGACGGCGACAGCGCUGCAAAGAGGGUGAGCCCGAUGACGCUGGAGUACGCGAUCGCGGAGAGCGUGGCCCGGGGGAAGCUGGUGGCCGGGAGCGGGACGGGGACGGUGUCGCUGCAGAUGCCGACGUACGCGAACCCGAUGCCGGUGGAGGUGUGGGUGCUGAUCAAGCGCGCCUUCACCAACACGCGGCGCAUGCCGGAGCUGUUCGGGAUGCGGCUCGGCACCAUCAUGGUGACGGGCCUCAUCCUGGCGACUAUCUUUCUGCGGCUUGACGACACGCCCAAGGGCGUGCAGGAGCGGCUGGGGUUCUUCGCGAUGGGCAUGUCGACCAUGUUCUACGUGUGCGCGGACGCGCUGCCGGUGUUUGUGCAGGAGCGGCACAUCUACCUGCGGGAGACGGCGCACAACGCGUACCGGCGCGCCUCCUACGUGCUGGCCAACGCGGUGGUCUCCUUCCCGCCGCUGGUGGCGCUGUCGCUGGCGUUCGCGGUGACCACGUUCUUUGCGGUGGGGCUCGCCGGCGGCGCCUCAUCGUUCCUCUACUUCUCGCUCAUCAUCCUCGCCUCUCUCUGGGCCGGCAGCGGGUUUGUGACGUUCCUGUCGGCGGUGGUGCCGCACGUGAUGCUGGGGUACACGGUGGUGGUGGCCAUCCUGGCCUACUUCCUGCUCUUCUCGGGCUUCUUCAUCAACCGGGACAGGAUCCCGGACUACUGGAUCUGGUUCCACUACAUCUCGCUCGUCAAGUACCCGUACCAGGCGGUGCUGCAGAACGAGUUCGGCGACGCCACGCGGUGCUUCGCGCGCGGGACGCAGAUGUUCGACGGCACGCCCAUCGGCGGCAUGCCGGAGGCCAUCAAGAUGAAGGUGCUGGGCGCCAUCGGCAACGCGCUGGGCACGCGCAUGACCUCCCACACCUGCGUCCUCACGGGCGCCGACGUGCUCGCGCAGCAGGCCGUCACCGACCUCGGCAAGUGGAUGUGCCUCCUGGUCACCGCCGGCUUCGGCUUCUUCUUCCGCGCGCUCUUCUACGUCGUGCUGCUCGUCGGCAGCAAGAACAAGAGGAAGUGA
rnacentral:rRNA from 1 species